UACAUGGGGUGCAAACGUUUGCUCGGAAUUAUUGGGCGUAAAGCGAGUGUAGGUGGUUGUCCAAGUUGGAUGUGAAAAGCCCCCGAGCUCAACUUGGGAAUUGCAGUGGAUACUGGCAGGCUGGAGUACGGUAGAGGAAGGUGGAAUUCCCGGUGUAGCAGUGAAAAUGCGUAGAUAUCGGGAGGAACACCAGUGGCGAAGGCGGCCUUCUGGACCAGUACUGACGC
rnacentral:rRNA from 1 species